rnacentral:misc_RNA from 1 species
AGCACACGCGGAGCAGCGCAGUAACGAGCCGAGAGUCACUUAGUGCGCGCGCGUUUCUUCCGUAACACGUUAAUUUGGGGUAAAAUUUUGAAAAAAUACCAAAAAGUUAGUACGGUAGAUCGCAACGAGGCGCUCAACGCGACAAGCGUCGUUCAAUUGUACAAAUAAAGAGCUUAAACGAGAGAAGUUAAUGAUUGGAAAAAAACGCACACGUGAAACCAUCGCAAAAAUAAAAACGUUACUACAAAAACGGAGUCGUUAGUACGAGCGAUAAGCGCGAAAUAGCGCGUACGUUUGAUCGUCGCGCGAACGCGUUAUUAUUGCCGACGAUUAUUACUGUUGUUCUCUUUCAACGAUUGUAUACCUCCAUUGCCCGGUUGACAUUAACUCGGCGGUGAUUCGUUUACUAACCAAAAAAUAGUGAGAAAUCAGCAAAUGAUUAAAUGAAUAGCUAAUCACCGAAGGGAGCUAAAAGUGCGCGACGAAUAAAAGAUAUUGAAAAAGUAAACAAUAAACGAAUCGAAGGAAGAUACCUAUAAAUAAAAAUAAACCCAAAUAAUAAAUGCGUAGUAUAGGCUCUUGGACGGAGGCUGGUUGUUGUUGAAUUACCUUUAUUAUUUAAAAAGUUGUAUAUAUAAAUUUAUUUAUAUAAUUCAUUAUAUAUAUAUAAACACAAAAAUUCACGACGUUUCGCCAAAAUCAACCGUUCAACAUGUGUGAUAAUACCAAUUCGACGACGCAAAGUAUAGCUGACUAUCUGUCACAACUUCUCAAAGACAGGAAGCAACUAGCAGCGUUACCAAAUGUAUUUAUACACGUGGAGCGACUUCUCGACGAAGAAAUCGCGAAGGUGCGAGCGAGUCUCUUCCAGAUAAGCGGAGUCAAAAAGGAGCCGCUAAUACUCCCGGAACCGGAGGGCGAGAUCAUGACGUUAACGGAAAAAGUUUACGUCCCUGUCAAAGAGCAUCCCGACUUCAACUUCGUUGGAAGGAUUCUCGGACCUCGGGGUAUGACUGCGAAACAAUUGGAGCAGGAGACUGGUUGCAAAAUCAUGGUACGAGGAAAGGGUUCGAUGCGAGAUAAAAAGAAGGAGGAGCAAAAUCGAGGCAAACCGAACUGGGAACAUUUGACGGACGAGCUGCAUGUUCUACUCACUGUCGAAGACACCGAGAAUCGUGCAACCCUCAAGCUUGCUCGCGCUGUCGAGGAAGUCAAGAAACUUCUCGUGCCCCAGGCCGAUGGCGAGGACGAAUUGAAAAAGAGGCAGCUCAUGGAGCUCGCUAUAAUCAACGGCACUUACAGAGACUCCAACACGAAAGUUGCAGCUCAAGCAGCGUUUGACAUUGCAGCAUGCGACGAGGAAUGGAGGCGCGUGGCGCAAGCCGCGGCCGAGUCACAGCGUCUUUUACCAGGGCUUGGUACGCAAAUGCGUACGCAAAACGCACCGCUGGGGGCGCCGUUGAUCCUGUCGCCGCGUAUCACAGUACCAACGACCGCAGCGUCGCUGCUGAAUGGCUCAGGUCCGCCAGGAUCGUUACUCUCGGCGGGUGAUCCACACGGGCUCAUCUACACGCCGUACGCCGAUUACGCCAACUACGCGGCACUAGCCGCAUCCCCGUUGCUCACCGAGUACGCCACUGCUGACCAUUCUGCAAUACGUCGCGCAUCACACAAUUGGCAGUGGGAUAACACAAGAAAAAGCCCGUAUUCUCCGCGAUAACGCAAAAGUAUUCUCGUUAUCCUUCACCGUAAUGCAAUUGAUAUGCAAUUAUAGGUAGAAGCAUGCGCGAGAUCCGCAUACUUAACAAUAACUUUAAGUAACGCUGUUCGUCACGUUUCUUAAUUUCUUUGAUUUUUUUUUCUACCGUUUUUUUUUCUUCAUCGUCUUUUCGUUAAUACCAAACGGACGUAUACUUUCUUUCUCUUUAUCUUUCUCUUUCUCUAUAUAUAUAUAUAUAUAUCUAGAUAUUUAUAAAUACGUAUAUAAAAGCGGCUCUUAGGGGCAUUAACGCGCUUGCGAAAACGUUCAGUCGUCUGUGUGACACAUUUAUCGUGCAUUACUCAAUGCAAUAAUCAAAGGCCAUUCGUUGUUUUUAGCUCUCAUACUCGUGCAAACACAUUUAAACGUAGAUCCACUUAUGAUAUGUAUAAAUAUACACAUUUAUAUGAUUUACACGAUGAUUUAUAUUUAUAUUUAUUGAGAGAAGCAGGUUAGCAAAUUUUUUGAACAUUAGCUCACGCCCAUCGUUAUUUCUACACCACAUUCGUUGGUUUUGCUAAUCACUCUUUGCGAUACGAUCAAUUCGUUGAGAUCAAAAACACUCUUUAAUAUUUUUUACUCUUUUUCAUUAAUCGCGCGCACACUGUUGAAUCCCUUACUAAUGAGAAAAAUACUCGAUUAUUCAUGAAUUUCGUUAUUAUCGUUUAUUCGUCAUGCGGUGAUGGCACGUCGAUGAAACUUAUGGUACUUUCGCACUCGUAUCGACGUUUAACUUUCAUUUAAUAUCUUAUAUUGCUCUUUUUCGUUGUACAUCAAAGCAAAGGCAUUAAAUUAAUACUUGUCAGUUAACACCACAAAGUACCUAUACUAGAAUCUCGAGCUGAUAUCCCUAGGGUCGGUCAAAAAUACAUAACUAAAAAACCAGUGAGGUUAUCACUUCCGGAAGAAUAACUAACACACGAAAAAUAAAAGAGGCUCGGAAGCUCGGAACCGCUCGGGCCACGUUCCCAUUUAAUUUCGCUUGUGUGUUAAAACCAACGAAACAAAUACAUGUCGCGUCCUACGAAUUCGAGUUAAUCUCCUAAUCGCUCGUGUCCCCCGGCUUCAUUGAAAAUAAUAUUUUAUCACUGAAUUAUAAAUAAAAAGUAUAAAAUGACAUUUUUCACGAGGAGACAGAGAAAAUUGCACAUUUUUUUCAAUCGCUACUUUUGAUCCGACAGAUAACUGCGACGAGGAUACAUCUCAAAGUGUUCGUUAUGUGGUUCUGCACAACUGCUGGCGCUACUGGGACGACUUUUCGGUUUAUACUUUAGUCCGGAUAACGUAGCACUGCGCGCGACAAUACAGACUUUCAAACGAACGAUAAAAAUACUAAAAAAAAAGCAAACGAACCUUUUUUAAUCCAAGCGACGAUAACGUUUUUGCGACUCGUUAUUCAAAUAAAAAACUGUCCUGUUUACCAGCCCGAACCGACCAAAGGUAAAAUCAAUAACGAAAUAUAAUUUAAAAAAUCACGCUCAUGAACAAACAUUACCACUCGUAAACGUAACACUUCGGGAUGUCUCCUUGUCAGGUUCUCACAUUCUCACAUUCUAGUUACAGUUUUUCCAUCUCCCCCCAGCCCCCCCCCCCCCUCCCCUUCUCGUAUUUAUUCGUCCAUCAUCUUUAGUCGUCGAUUAACUUUUGCCGGUGAUAGGUAGGCGUAGGAUUUUUCUAGGCAGACGACACUAGGCUUAUAGGGAAAGUAAAUAAAUGGAAAAUCAAUAAAAAUAAGAUAAAACACAGAAGAAAUUGAAAAAACAAAAUCUACCCAGGGACCAAAACAACUGCGUUUUCAGGACUGAUGGUUCUAUCGUAUACUUGUAGGUAUUUUAAUGCGUAUCGAAGACCAUACGUUCAAUCAGAUCCGAUUUUCCAUCGCGUAUGUACGUCGACUAUGAGGACCCGAAGGAGGAAAAGUUUAUUAAAGUAGUGUAUAGAGGAAUGAAAAGUCGAUAUUUCUAAUUUUAAAUGGAUUUGGAAGAGAGAGAGAGAGAGUGGGGAAGAACUACUCAAAUGCAGAGUCGGAUCUCUUUGCAACGUUCGAUCUUCGAAGGAAUGUUGAAUUUAUGCUAUUACCAGAAUCAUGUACAUUAUUUUAUAUUAUUUUAUAUCGAUUAUUUAAUUUUAUUUUUAUAAAGAGAUUUUAGCCAUAUUUAUGCGUUGUGUUGACGAACAAAAACAUAGGAAAAAGAAGAAAAUAAGAAAGGAGAAUAUGAAAACCGUCCACGAUCGUAGCUCCGCGUUUUGAAACUCUCUGAUUAUUAUUAUUAUUUUUUUAUUUUCUUUCCUCUUGGAACGAGUGAAAUGGUUCGUUACGAUUGAAGCGGCUCGUAUUGCGACCUUCAUAUUCUCUCUUUCUUUUUCAUAGUCUCUCUAAGAAUCGAAAGUACGAGAGAAAGUGACGAAAAAUUGGAGCCCGCGAUGGAAUAUUGACACGAUUAUAUAAUCGAACGCUCUUGUACGAUUCGAAAUUCUGUUUGUCGGGGCUUCAAACGUUGUAUUACAUCUCGUCAAUCCGUUGCCGUGAUUCGGCAACUGGAACGUGCCGUUGCAAUUAAUUGACAUCUGAAAAAAAAAAAAAAAAAAAAAAAAAAAAAAAAAAACGAAUCGCUCGAUCAAUAGUUCGAAAGAAAUUUCAUUUCUUUCCUAAGUUUGCCAAAUUCGGAGCAUAUUCACGCGUGUGCCAUUUUCAACCGGGCGUGAAUUGCUAUACGUGUCGCCAAAUUCUUUUUGGCCUCUCAGGUUUUAUAUCCAACAAAUAAAAACGAAACAUUAGCCUCUUUCAUUACUUGUUUCAAACGUCAAAAUCUCCUUGCAACUCACGCUCGGUUAUGGAAACGAAGAAAAUCUAUUUCUUUGUUCUCGCAGUGUCAUCUUUUAAAUAUAAUUAUACAUUAUUUAAUAUAAGGAAGAAAAAAGGAAUAUUGUCACAUGCAUCGUCAAGAUGAGAGAGAGAGAGAGAGAGAGAGGAAAAUUGUAGGAUUUGGCAACGGCUAUGGAAUGUCAGUAAAAACUGUUAAGAGAGUAUGAUUACUCACGUUUCUAUGUUGGCGAACAGGUGCAGCGGCCGCUGCGAAGCAGCGUAGGCACCUGGGUCAGAUUCGCGAGCACCCUUAUCAAAGGGCCGGCGCACUCUCGUGAAUACAGAGAUUACGAAUCGCGGAAAGGCUUGGAGUGCUAACAAUGGAAUCCACUCGCCCCGUGCUAACACCUGGACUCUGGAACAGCAUCCGCGUAUGAUAUGGUUCACCAAUCCGAAGCCGAGCGUCUUCGCCGUCCGCGUCACCAGCCCCUGUUCGUCACAAAAUUAUCCAUCAUCCUCCCCUUUCUUUCUCCUCCUUUCUCUCUCUCUCUCUCUCUCUCUCUUUCUAUCUCACCCUCAACGAUCCCGCAAUACAAAAAUGUCCGAAGGAUUGUACUUGCAUUCGUUGUCUCGGAUUUUUCGUUCUCUUCAAUUUUUAAGUUUUUCCAUUUCUUUUAGUAUCCUCGCGGUUCUCUCUUGGUACUUAUUUCAUUGAGCAACAGCUUCAACGUUGUUUCUCAGUCAUCGGAGAAGUGCAACCUUCGGGACAUAACAUUUUUUUUUUCCUCCGAUCCUGCGAGUAUUAGAAGUUUCUUUGAGUAUAGAAAAAAAAUGGACGAACAAUGAAUGAUUACCGUGAGGAGAGUUCAAACGUGAGGUGUUUUUUCAAGAAAAUCAUCGUUUUGUUCAAUCGGAAGACUAUGAUCGAGAGAACCUCUCCCCAACCCCCUCCCGACGACCAGCAAAUUAUUAUCACGACUGGUGAUUAUGAGGUAUUUUAUUAAGUUUAUUAGUACGUUAUUAAGAGUUGCGAGUAGUUUUUUUCGGGCUCUCGAGGUAAUUAGCCAAGCAAUAUGCAUUUCUGAAAAUCUGUCACUCUCCUCUUUCUCUUCAUCUUCAUCUUCUUCUUCUUCUUCUUCUUCUUCUUCUUCUUCUUUUUUUCGGCUAAUUAUUGCGUAGAAUUAUAAUAUCACGAAAAGAUGUCUGUUCGGCGUAAGAUUCGAACUGUAAUCAUUCGUCGUUCGGGGCCACACAAUGUAAACGUGCAAUAAAUCACCAAAAUUCAACGUUGCGAAAUACCAUCGAUUUCAGAUCGAUUUCGCCUUAAUGUCCUCUGUUAUAAUGCAAAUAAAAAUAAAACGUAUUUGAGUCAAGAACGUAUAAAACACUUGAAAAACAAGAGGAAGAAAUCAUCGUUUCGAAAUACUUGCAGAGAUAUGUAUAUCAAGAAUUUCUAUUAAGCAGAUAAAACAAGAAAGAUCGUUUAUUUUUAAUCAAUCAUUAUGUUUAGUGGAAACAGAACGAAGAGAGAAAUAACGUGAAUUUGUUGGCGUUACGAUUUAUAAAGAGAUCAAAAGUAUGAAAAAAAGAAAAAUAAGAAAAUGAUAUUUAUCUAUGUUGUUGACACUCGUCACUGCGAAAUUAUUAAGUUCAUAAGUUAUACAGUUUUAAUUAAAAUUUGUAUGUCAUUUGUUUCACAAGUGCAGGGUGCGGAGCGAUUGUGCGAGAGAUUGAUUUACUUGAAUGUUCAUUGAAAUCAAGGAAAUUAGAAAAGCAAAGGGAGAGCAGCAAAAAAAAACGGUGAAAAAAUAAAAGAUUAACGUUACAGAAAAGAAUAAGAAAAUACACAGAAAAACAAAUGAUCGAUAAUCAAGAGCAAAUAGAAAAAAAGAAAAUUAACACUCGUUAAUAACUUUUAGAUCUGCCAUAUAUAUGUGACUAUACGAAUUUUAGUUGUAUGUUAUAUAUCUGUACAAUUAUCAGACGUGGAAACAAUUGUGACCAUCGUUCAUUAUUAAUAUUAUCAUUAUUAAUAAUAUUUUUUUUUCUGCUAUUACGCCCACUUUAUUAUUUCGAUUCGAAAUGAUUCAAUAGUUCGAUGUUAUACGGUAGCUCGUCUUUUGUGUAUAUAAAAAAAAAAAAACAAAAACAAAAAAACAAAAAAAAUGCUUAAAAAAUAUGAAAUAAGCAUCGUCGUGCAUAAAAGAGUGAUCUGCAAUUUACUUAAGUUUAUUCAUUUGGAAUUAUAUUUUAUUAUUGUACGUAACUGUUGAAAGUAUAAAAGAUGAUUAUAUAAAAAUAUAUUAUUAAACGGAAAACGCACAAAAUAUAAGCUCGAAUUUAUCGACGAGUCAACUAAUCAAUCGAUUGAAAUAUGAAUGAACCACCGUUCGACAAGUUCAGCUAUAUUUUGCGUCGAUAGAUACUCACGUUGUGUUGUCGUGCGCUCGUCACGAUCGCGGCGGUUAACACAAAGAAGAAUUAUAAAAAUAAUAUUUUCGCAAAUGACAAAUAAUCGGUAUGGAAGUACUGUUUUUUUCUUUCUCGUAAUCAAAAUUACGUCCGCAAUGCGUGACUGAAACGAAAAUAAACGCGAUUGAAACUUCGCGUGCCUUAGAUUUUCCAUGCAGGAUAUUUACGUGGCAAUAUUCAAUCGAAUAUUAAAAAUGCAUAGUAUGAUUAUAAAAAAUAAAAAAUUUUCUUCUCAUUCUA